UUUGUAGAAUGAACCGGCGAGUUACGAUCUGAUGCAAGGUUAAGCAGCAAAUGUGGAGCCGCAGCGAAAGCGAGUCUGAAUAGGGCGUUGAGUAUUUGGUCGUAGACCCGAAACCAGGUGAUCUACCCUUGGUCAGGUUGAAGUUCAGGUAACACUGAAUGGAGGACCGAACCGACUUACGUUGAAAAGUGAGCGGAUGAACUGAGGGUAGCGGAGAAAUUCCAAUCGAACUUGGAGAUAGCUGGUUCUCUCCGAAAUAGCUUUAGGGCUAGCCUCAAGUGAUGAUUAUUGGAGGUAGAGCACUGUUUGGACGAGGGGCCCCUCUCGGGUUACCGAAUUCAGACAAACUCCGAAUGCCAAUUAAUUUAACUUGGGAGUCAGAACAUGGGUGAUAAGGUCCGUGUUCGAAAGGGAAACAGCCCAGACCACCAGCUAAGGU
rnacentral:rRNA from 1 species